GAUUGAACGCUGGCGGCAGGCCUAACACAUGCAAGUCGAGCGGAUGAAGGGAGCUUGCUCCUGGAUUCAGCGGCGGACGGGUGAGUAAUGCCUAGGAAUCUGCCUGGUAGUGGGGGAUAACGUCCGGAAACGGGCGCUAAUACCGCAUACGUCCUGAGGGAGAAAGUGGGGGAUCUUCGGACCUCACGCUAUCAGAUGAGCCUAGGUCGGAUUAGCUAGUUGGUGGGGUAAAGGCCUACCAAGGCGACGAUCCGUAACUGGUCUGAGAGGAUGAUCAGUCACACUGGAACUGAGACACGGUCCAGACUCCUACGGGAGGCAGCAGUGGGGAAUAUUGGACAAUGGGCGAAAGCCUGAUCCAGCCAUGCCGCGUGUGUGAAGAAGGUCUUCGGAUUGUAAAGCACCUUAAGUUGGGAGGAAGGGCAGUAAGUUAAUACCUUGCUGUUUUGACGUUACCAACAGAAUAAGCACCGGCUAACUUCGUG
rnacentral:rRNA from 1 species